GUAUGUGCCACACAGCGAAAGCGGCAAUGAGGCAGAGGCAGAGGCAGAGGCAGGCACAUGGAGAGGGGACAGUGGGCAGGGGCAGAGCUUCAUCACCGAUUCCCUGGCAAAUGUGGCAAUGUAAUUGCCGUUUUGUGGUCUCCACACUGGCUGUUGGCUGUUGGCUUUUGGCUGUUUGCCUCUCGGUUGUUUCUGUUUCUGUUUCUGUUUAUGUUGUUGUUUUG
rnacentral:lncRNA from 1 species